rnacentral:rRNA from 1 species
UACGAAGGGGGCUAGCGCUGCUCGGAAUCACUGGGCGUAAAGGGUGCGUAGGCGGGUCUUUAAGUCAGGGGUGAAAUCCUGGAGCUCAACUCCAGAACUGCCUUUGAUACUGAAGAUCUUGAGUUCGGGAGAGGUGAGUGGAACUGCGAGUGUAGAGGUGAAAUUCGUAGAUAUUCGCAAGAACACCAGUGGCGAAGGCGGCUCACUGGCCCGAUACUGACGCUGAGGCACGAAAGCGUGGGGAGCAAACAGGG